rnacentral:lncRNA from 1 species
CCCAGACUAACAUUAAACACAGUCUUUACCUUCCUGAAACCAGAGAGCAUCUGUACCUCUUCCUGAAAGAGAAGUCUGGUUACAGCUGUCUGCCGAGAGGUGGGGCGUCGUCAGGGAAACCAGCUUCAUUAGGGGUGUAAUUAACAUCCGUGCUAGACAAUGGAUGCCAUGGUGAUGGACUCACUUUCGGUGUUCUAAGGGAUGACGUUAUGCAGAAAUGGCCUUUCAUAGAAAUGAGGACACCGCAAGGCUGGCACAGAUUCAAAGACGCAAAAAGAAUUGGGUACAUUAGUCUUUGACAGGUAUGAAUGGCCUAAAUAAACAGUAAAGAGUUGCGAGCAGG